AAAUUGAAGAGUUUGAUCAUGGCUCAGAUUGAACGCUGGCGGCAGGCCUAACACAUGCAAGUCGAGCGGUAGCACAGAGAGCUUGCUCUCGGGUGACGAGCGGCGGACGGGUGAGUAAUGUCUGGGAAACUGCCUGAUGGAGGGGGAUAACUACUGGAAACGGUAGCUAAUACCGCAUAAUGUCGCAAGACCAAAGUGGGGGACCUUCGGGCCUCAUGCCAUCAGAUGUGCCCAGAUGGGAUUAGCUAGUAGGUGGGGUAACGGCUCACCUAGGCGACGAUCCCUAGCUGGUCUGAGAGGAUGACCAGCCACACUGGAACUGAGACACGGUCCAGACUCCUACGGGAGGCAGCAGUGGGGAAUAUUGCACAAUGGGCGCAAGCCUGAUGCAGCCAUGCCGCGUGUGUGAAGAAGGCCUUCGGGUUGUAAAGCACUUUCAGCGGGGAGGAAGGCGGUGAGGUUAAUAACCUCAUCGAUUGACGUUACCCGCAGAAGAAGCACCGGCUAACUCCGUGCCAGCAGCCGCGGUAAUACGGAGGGUGCAAGCGUUAAUCGGAAUUACUGGGCGUAAAGCGCACGCAGGCGGUCUGUCAAGUCGGAUGUGAAAUCCCCGGGCUCAACCUGGGAACUGCAUUCGAAACUGGCAGGCUAGAGUCUUGUAGAGGGGGGUAGAAUUCCAGGUGUAGCGGUGAAAUGCGUAGAGAUCUGGAG
rnacentral:rRNA from 1 species